CUUUCCUUUCAAUGAUGUUUACCGUUUAGCUCACAYAUUGUUCCUGUAUCAGCUUGUGAGAGAGUUUUUCUCAGAAAGUCAGUGCUGAGACAUGUGUUGCUUAUCAGAGACGUGACCCUGUGUUGCCCCCUCACCUUCCCCUGUCGAGGUCUCACCAGCAGUUGUCACAAUAAAGAAACAGCUUUAGGCUUUAGUUUUAGCUUCAGAUGCUAGACUGGCAGUAAUGUUCGCAGCCAUGUUCCUCUCUACAUUUACAACUCUGCAACGUGGCUCGUUUGCAAGAUUUUGCACUUAUCCACAGGUUACCAUAUUUCAGCUUUGGGACAAAAAAUCAGAAGCAUUAUGAGGUUUGAGAAAGUUUUUUUUAACCCAAAUAACUAAUAAACAGCAAUGGUUGAGUGAUUAAAGGUUGCAGUUAUGAAACAGACCACGACUGACCCUGGCACUAAAAGUAAAACACAGUUGUUGAUAAAAUGUCGUGCUCCAUAAGGGAGGAGGAAAGAUAUAUAGUAUUAUGGCGUCAUCUUUUAAAUCUACAUCCUUCUCCAGACAAGCGCAUUCCCCUCGCCCGCUGUGAGUACCGCCUCAGUACACACAGAGCUGCCCUUCCAGAGGAGAAAAAGAAUCCAGAUGGUUGCGUCGUGCUGCGAGGGGCCAUAAAUGGACUGGUUUUCACAUGGAGGGGCCUCCGGGGUUCCCUCUGAGGCUCUCAGCUUACAGUCYGGGGAGGAGAAUCACCCUACUGUUCUGCUUUAAACUGAGCGAGCAGAGAAAUGUCAUUAAUGCUUUAACUUUUGUCAAUCUGAGGGAAGUUUUCCUGCAACAACUCAGGCUGAAGYAGUCUCCUGGAUAAAAUGUUUCAACAAAAGAAGAACCCAAACAGGACCUGACUUAGAUUCACAUGUUCUGAUUGUUGAAUGACAACAGGUGUGCUGACUGCUAACAGAAUCCAGAGUGUCGGGUCUCGGCUGUUGAGGAACGACUGCUUGCUGGAGGCAUGGACUGUUGAAAUUUAAAACSACUGGAUCUGAUUUUACCCAAUCACUAACGUUUGGCCAUGGCAGGGGCGGGGUCACAGGGGCUUUGGCCCCUGCUGAAACCUGAUUGGACCCCUGAAGUGCCCCUGUCCUGUCCUCAUCUGUCCUUUGCCUGAGAGCAAUGACGAGCAGCUGAGUGGCAGAGGCCCUUGUCUCAUGAAGGGGGCUUGUUUCCAUCAGGGGGUGAAACAAACCCCUCCGUUUAUCACCCUGUCAGAGCUGAUAACUAUUCAACCAAACCAGAGGAGUUCCUGCCGACAGUCAAAGGCCUUUUCUUUGAGGGAAUCCAGCUCUGGUUUUGCAACAGGGAGGGACUUUCCCAUCAGUCAGCAGGGAGACACAAGGAACCUCCUCCAAGUUUUACUUUUUUUUUUUGUUGCUCCUUCCCCCCACUGUGUUUUUAUUACCUUUAUUAAAAACUACAUGUUCCAA